rnacentral:rRNA from 1 species
UGGGGAAUUUUGCACAAUGGAGGGAACUCUGAUGCAGCGACGCCGCGUGAACGAAGAAGGCUUUCGAGUUGUAAAGCUCUUUUAUAUGGGAAGAUAAUGACGGUACCAUAAGAAAAAGCCCCGGCUAACUACGUGCCAGCAGCCGCGGUAAUACGUAGGGGGCUAGCGUUGUCCGGAAUCACUGGGCGUAAAGGGUUCGCAGGCGGAAAUGCAAGUCAGGUGUAAAAGGCAGUAGCUUAACUACUGUAAGCAUUUGAAACUGCAUAUCUUGAGAAGAGUAGAGGUAAGUGGAAUUUUUAGUGUAGCGGUGAAAUGCGUAGAUAUUAGGAAGAAUACCGGUGGCGAAGGCGACUUACUGGGCUCAUUCUGACGCUGAGGAACGAAAGCGUGGGUAGCAAACAGG